rnacentral:miRNA from 3 species
GCUGAUUUCAGUUGGUGCUAGA